GUGGGGAAUAUUGGACAAUGGGGGGAACCCUGAUCCAGCCAUGCCGCGUGUGUGAAGAAGGCCUUUUGGUUGUAAAGCACUUUAAGCGAGGAGGAGGCUACCGAGAUUAAUACUCUUGGAUAGUGGACGUUACUCGCAGAAUAAGCACCGGCUAACUCUGUGCCAGCAGCCGCGGUAAUACAGAGGGUGCAAGCGUUAAUAGGAUUUACUGGGCGUAAAGCGCGCGUAGGUGGCCAAUUAAGUCAAAUGUGAAAUCCCCGAGCUUAACUUGGGAAUUGCAUUCGAUACUGGUUGGCUAGAGUAUGGGAGAGGAUGGUAGAAUUCCAGGUGUAGCGGUGAAAUGCGUAGAGAUCUGGAGGAAUACCGAUGGCGAAGGCAUCCAUCUGGCCUAAUACUGACACUGAGGUGCGAAAGCAUGGGGAGCAAACAGGAUUAGAUACCCUUGUAGUCC
rnacentral:rRNA from 1 species